GGAGGCUGUUUCCACAUCGAACAGGAGACUGAAAGUUGGUGACACUGCCGUUGCGUCUGGGAGACGGAGUUUGGAUCGAGGCUUCCUGACUCGUGAUGUCACUCUCCUGCUGAUCUGGCUUUUUAUCUGCUGCGGCCUCUGGACCCUGUAGUCUCGCUAAGGGAAGGGUAAAUAUCACAAGGUGCCAAACAGAAACAUCUUUAUCAAACAUUAGAGGAUGGGCUGUGACAAAGUGUUGGUCAGUGAGCUGUCUCUGAGUGUGUGGCUGUUUGGAUUUACCGGCAGUCUGGGAGUGACUGG